ACAAAAAAACUCUUAUCAUUGCCAAAAAGAAGUUAACCACCAAAUGAAAGCUAUUGGUCAAACAAGAAAUGUGUAGAGCCCUUAAUUUCAACAUCAAGGCCAAUCCUUUUGCCUACUCUCUUGUAAACAAACUCAAUGAGUGCUAUGCAAAACCACAAGGCAUUGGAGUUGUUGGGCACUAAAUUCAAAGUUGACCCACUUGAUUUCUCUAGGCUUUUUUUUAUUUUUCAUUUUUUAUUUUUUUAUUUUUUGUGGGGGAUUGCCAUGGGCCAUUUUAUGGGACAACACCCAUGAAAAUUGAAUUUCAUGUCUACUUUAUUAAUGUAUGGAAAGUGGAAUCCAUCUCAAUUGGAAUGACAUUAUUUGACGUAAUAAAUGUUUGUGAUACACGUGAAGAAAGUGAUGAAUCACAUAAUCAUUCAUAAAUUAGGGGUCAUUAUUUUUGUAUCUAAUUUGACAAAUCACAAUUUUUGGUAUUAUAGUGUAUGUGUUGAUAUCCUGUAAAUGAAUAAACAAGGCAUGGAAAAUAUGAUCGAAAACAAAAAAAAAAAAAGCUAAUGCAUGAUUAUAGUAAUGAAAUUUUCACACCAACCAAACAGAACAUUACAGUUUCUAUCUUGUACAUUUAUAAGCUAAUGCAUUAAAUGACCCCUGCACAAAAGUAUAGCUGUAGUAUCACAUUUAAGCAAAAUAUUUUUUAUAUCAUUGGAAUUGAUUUUUAAGAAACCAAAUAUCUUUUUUUUUUUUGAAAAAAAUUAUAAAUAUUAUUUCGAAUUGAAUGUCUAAAUUUAAUAAAUAGUCAUUUAUUGUUCUAAGAAGGUUAAUGCGAUGUUUCUAUUUUUUGUUGUAAAGAAAUCCUUAAUAAUUAAAACUAUUUUUACAAAGUAGAUCCGUAGAUUUUUCAUAAUCAUAUAGAAAAUUUGUAUCAUAUGAUACUGAGUUUGCAAGAAAUUAAUAUGGAAGAUGAAUCAUUUCCACCUAAGAACUAUGCAAAUCCCAUAAUUUCGUUUCUGUUCAUUGGAUUCAAAGUCAUGGAAAAGGGUUUCAAAUCAAAUUCCUCUCCCCCUCCCCCCAACACCCCCCAAAUCUAGAAAAUAAUUAUAUUCUCUUUCUCCAAACACCAAAAAAGUUUGAAAGUUUUCUAUAAUUUAUUUAUUCUUCCAAGUUCUGACACAAAGCUGGCCACUUUUUUCAGGAAAGACUGGCUACAAUCACGUGACACAGUUCCUCAUCCUUCUCUCUCAUGUCUCCUUUAAUUUGUCUCAAACCACGCGCUAUUUUCUGCCUUCUUUAUUGUUUCUUUCUUUGAUUUUCUCUCAUUUUCCACUCGCUCUUCAAACUUGCUGUUCAAAGUUUACACCUCGGUAACAGGGUGGAGACCCUUUGGGAGUGUUUGCUCCCUCAGAUCUGCCUCCUCAGGGCAAGGUAUGGUUGAUUCCUGUUUGUUCCCUUUAAUGGGUGUUCUGGGUUUGUCUUGUUCUUGUUUAUUUGUUAAUCUUUUGAUGGUUCUGUAUGUGGGUUUUUGGUUUUUUGUUCUGGGUUGGUAAUUUUUUGAGUGUACGUGUCAUUCUAGUUUCGGGUGCUUGUGGGUCUUUUUCUCUUUUGAACUGUUGGUGUAAUUUCUCAGCUGUGUAAUGUUCGUGUUGGGUGUUUCUCUUUUGUUUGUUUCUAGCACUGGGGGGGUUGGGGGCGGGCGUUGUUUUCUUCUGGGUUGGUGAUCUCCCACUCUAUAGUUCAUUUUGGGUUCUAGGUAUUUGCAGAAAAGAGGUUAUUUUUAGAUGCAGUUUCUGGGUGCGUAUGUAGUACUUGUCUGUUCUGUCUGGAAUUUAAUUGAGGAAAAAGGUUAGGCCUUUUAAGUUUGUUUUUGUUUCUUCUAUGUUGGUCAUUUUUCUCUUUAUACACUUCCUUUUGGUUUCUGGGUAUUUUUGGUGCAUUUCUGGGUAUAGUGUAAUCCAUUUGUGGGCUUACUGGUUCUUGCUUUGGUCAUUUUGGUGUAAGAUUAUAGUGUUGCUUCAUUGUCCUUUUCCUUUGCUUUGACCAUUUUCAGGAAAUGGGUUUCAUUUCUAGAAGGAUCUUUCCAGCAUGUGGAAGCAUGUGUGUGUGCUGCCCUGCAUUGAGGUCAAGAUCUAGACAACCGGUCAAGCGAUACAAGAAACUGCUUGCAGAGAUCUUCCCCAAAUCCAUUGUGAGCACUUACAGUUAAUCAAUUAAUAUCUAGUAUUUGAUCAUGUACUGUCAGAUGUGAUGUUUAUUUCUCUAUUAGAGUUUCAGGCAAGAAUGUCUCUGUGAGUAAAACCUAUUUGUUUAUCAAAAAAAUAUAAAUGGUGAGUGACAGAGGGCACACUAGAUCAUACGAUAGAAGAAGCCAGUCUCUCUAACUUGUUAUGCCAUGAUGUGGUCCUUAACAGGGGAAAAAAAUCCCCUCGCAAGGCUAUUGUAGCAUAGAUUCUAAAAAAAAUAUCCCUUGGCAUGGCCAUCUGUAGCAUAGGUUCAACGAUCACUAGCUAUUAAGAUUUUAAACAUUAAAUGCAUUUUAAUCAACUUUUUAUUUAUGCUUGGUUAAAGAGGGAACAAGUUCAAAACUAAUGUUUAGUACCUGUUAAACCUAGCGCAUGGAGCUAUGCUCUUUUUAAAGAAACUUUUAGACUUUAGUUUAUGGAGUAUGAUCCCUUUUGGAAUCUUGCACUGCACAACUUAAUUUGGGCAAAGCUGAAUGAGUGGUGUGAGGUUUCAUGGGUAACCAAUUAUUACCGAGUGCUAUAUGACAGUAAGCGUCUUGUUUCCUUGUGGUGCAGCUUCUUAUUCUGUAUGAUUGUGGCCUUACUGGUUUAAUCAGUGUUUCUCCUGUUCUUAGCAGUACCUAGAAUAAUGAAUUUUAAAUUGCAGGAUGGCCCCCCAAAUGAACGGAAAAUUGUGAAGUUAUGUGAAUAUGCUGCUAAGAAUCCUUUCCGAAUCCCAAAGGUAAUGCCUGUCUUAUGAGCUCCUUCUUAUGUCUGUUUAACAAUUAAAAUUGGGUUUAGAUCAGAACAUAAAUCCUAAAUAUUGGGUUUAAACCUGAAAAAUAGUGUAUGCACGGCUGAGUUUCUGUUGGGACAAUCUCUUUUCCAUAGAUAGCAAAAUAUCUUGAAGAAAGGUGCUACAAAGAACUGCGAUGCGAGCACAUCAAGUUCAUUGCUAUCGUUACGGAGGCUUAUAAUAAGUUGCUUUGCAUGUGCAAGGACCAAAUGUAAGAGCUAGUUUUGUUGUGUAUCAUUUUUUAAAAUUUUCUUUCUUCAUUCUAGUGUUUUAGUCAAUGAAUUUUGGUUAAGCAAUAAAUCCCUUAAUCUACCAAUGAGACUAACCCUGUCCUUCCUGCGACAUGCAAUGGAACUCAAAUUACCAUCCAUGAUCUUGUUUUUGGUAGAAAAUUCUGUGCUUUCACAAAAAAAUUUCCCCUUUAAGUUGAGCAUUUGAUUACCACGAAAUCCUUUGUCUCAAUGUAAAGAACUGCAGGAUCAUAAUUCACAUUUAAUGCAUUAAUGAAUUAUGUAUUUAUUUUCCUGUGUUUUGUAGGGCAUAUUUUGCUGUCAGUCUGUUGAAUGUGGUCAGUGAACUCUUGGAUAAGCCUAAGAAAGAUGCUAUGAGGAUCCUCGGAUGCCAGACCUUAACUAGGUUCAUUUAUUGCCAGGUGAAUUGUGAUGCUCCAAUACAUAAUGCUUGGAUUAUGAUGCAAAGUGCACAAACAGAUGGCUUUUCAGGAAAAGCCUUAGUAGCUUGAUUGCAGGGUUAGACCAUUUAGAGAUGCAAAAUCUCAUUUGGUUUGUACAAUGCUGUCUUUGCUAUAAAGGGCAGCUUAUCCUUCCUGUACCCUUUCUUUUUUAUAAUUCAAUGAAAUGUUUCUUACAAAAGAAUCUUGUUUUUCCCAAACAUGAUAGAUGCUCAAGGGUUUUGAUUUCCAUGCUUAUAGGGGGAUGUUACUUGUAUUCCGUUAAUGUGUUUGUGAGAUCCCAUAUUCGCUAAGAGAGAAGCCUCUGACCCUUUAAUAUGUAGUGGGUUACACUUAGCUGUGUAGAUAUGUUUUAAUGUUGUGCAAGCCUUGGGCCCAAAGCAGAAUAUCUGCAUGGGAGGGAGCGGGUCAUUUCAGUGUUACUUUGCAUAUGUUGCUCUUUAACUGUAAACUUCAUUACUUUCAUGAAGAACUGGCAUAAAUUCUGUUAUUGACUAUUGUUCUGAACUGAUUUAUGAACAGGCAGACAGCACUUAUACACAUAACAUUGAAAAUUUUGUUCGUAAAGUAUGUAUGCUGGCUCGUGAGGCUGGGGACGAACAACAAACAAGUACCUUGAAGGCAUCAAGCCUGCAGUGCCUUUCAGCCAUGGUAGUUUGCUUAACUUCUAUAAAUUUCUCAAUGUAUAUAGUCAAUAUAUUCAAUUUUAUAGAAUAGUUAGUGCUACUGCAUCUUUGACAGUCUUUUUUUAUUAGUUUUGCAUUUUAAUGGAUGUUAAAUUUUUUAUUUCUAGAAAUGCAUCCUGGUUUAUUUGAAAGAUUUCUGCCUUUGCAGGUGUGGUUCAUGGCAGAGUUUUCACUCAUUUUCUCUGAUUUUGAUGAAGUUAGUCCUUUUACCCUUUUAUAAUUACUGUCAGUUUCUUAUUGAUCUGUUAAACCUGUUGGGAAAUUAUGGUGGUUCAAAUAUGGAGUCUAUGUCAUAUUCUAACUCAUGUCGGAUUAGAACAGGGAAACAUUACCAUAAUCAUUUGAAAGAAGUUGAAAUGGAAUCAUAUAUUGAAAUUUUGGGUGGCCUUAUUCUAAACAGUUGUCUGUUUAACUGGCAUCAAGAAAUGUUAUCAAGGGAACUAAAAGAUUUGCCCUAUUUGGCAAGAUAUUUGCACUGUGAAAAAAUUCAGUAAGAAUGAUCCAUUCACCAGCCAAUGAUGCGAACCAUGGGGGAGUUUGUAUACCUUUAAUGUGGUGUUUAUUCUUCUCUAAUCCUUUUAGUGGUGAUAUAAGUUCUAAUCACUGAAGAGUGCUUGAAUUGCAGUCAAACCAGUCAGGCUCUCUUCAAACUCGUUUAGUGUUUUUGAUGUUUAUGUUUCAAUGUCUAUUUAUUAUUGUUGGUUUUUCAUUAACUGUUCUUUGUCCUACUUUUGAUCAUGAACCAUAUGCAAUUAUAUAUUUGAUUUAACUAUGAAUCCAAACUGCAGAUUGUGCAUGUUACUUUAGAUAACUACGAGCGAGAUACACAUAAUGGAGAAGAUGAUGAAAGAGGUGAGCCACAUCAUAACUGGGUGGAUGAAGUAGUUAGAUGUGAAGGGAGAGGUGGUGCCGGUGUUGGUAGUGAAAUUAGCCCUAGCUGCCCGGUGAUCAGGCCACAAACUGAAAAGAAAGAUCCUUCUCUUUUGACAAGGUAGUAGCUAACUCAAAAACCCAAAUAAAAAGAAUGGUGUUUUGUUUAUCGUAUUUCAGACUCUGUAACUUGCCACCAUGAUGAACAUAUUGGUUAAUUCCUCACUGCAGAGAAGAGAUUGAGACACCAAAAGUAUGGGCCCAAAUUUGCAUCCAAAGAAUGGUUGAAUUGGCUAAAGAGAGUACAACAAUGCGUCGGGUAUUGGAUCCAAUGUUUGUCUACUUCGACACUGGGAGGCACUGGGUUCCUCGGCAGGGCUUGGCCUUGGUGGUUCUCUCUGAUAUGUCCUACUUUGUGGAGAGUAUGGGUAAAUAUAAUCUCUCUUUCCACCUCCUCUCAGGCAGUUUAUACCUAAUAUCUUUUACCAGUAAAAAAAUUUACUGAUUUAGUUGUGUCAUUUAUUAUUUGUCCGAUAGCUGAACAUUUUAUUUGUUUAACUAGGAUAUGUCAAAGUAUUUUUCAGCAUAUACAUUGGUAUUUCAAUUUGAGCACUUUUGUUUGACGCAAAAAUGCAAGAGGUAAUGACAUGCCCAUUGAGAAUAAUCCAAUGUUUGAAUGUAGAUUUAUAGAAAAACGCAUGCAUAUCCACAUGGAAGGAAGGAGUGUCAGUAAAAUAGAAUGGAUAAAAUGAAUCUAAAUUUGAUUCAAUGGAUUUAAUAUUUUGUGAUACAUAUAGUUUAUAUGUUUUAAAACUUGUUGUAUGUCUUUUUUUCCCCUGCAUCUAGAUGCAUUUGGGUCAAAUGUCUUCAACCUGACGCUUUAUAGCUUCUAUGAUCAAUUCACAUACUGCAAACAGGUUUUGAGCCACAUCUCUUCCGGUUACAAUUUCCAAAUGUAGUUGCCAAAUUCUAAAAGACUAGAAGGCUAGUAAAUCUAGAUACUUCUGCUAAUGCAGCUUCUGUUUCCAGGGGACCAGAAAAUGAUUUUAGCUGCUGUGAUACGCCAUCUAGACCACAAAAAUGUUGCACACGAUCCCCAAACCAAAUCUUAUGUUAUCCAAGUUGCCACUGCUUUGGUUCAUCAAGUCAGAUCAGGAGCCAUACUGGCAGAAAUUGGCUUUGUCAGUGAUCUGUGCAGGCACUUGAGAAAAAGUCUCCAGGCCACUGUUGAAUCAGCAGGACAGCAAGAAUCGGACUUGAAUAUCUCUCUCCAAAACUCAAUUGAAGAUUGCCUGCUAGAAAUUGCCAGGGGGGUAAGUUAGAGUCUGUUUAGCAUUGUUUUUAAAAAGCACUUCUAGACUAAAAGGUGUUUUUGAAGAAAUCAGACAUUUAACAAAAAUUAAAAAACACUUUUAAAAGGUUGAAAAAUCACUUAUAAUACUUUUUGGAAAAAUGUUUGAUAGGUGAUUCUUCUAAAAACACUUCCAAGAGAGACACUUUCAAACACUAGAAAAUUUUCAUCCUUCAAGUAUUAAAAUACUAAAAACACUUCCUAAAAUCACUGCCAAAUGUACUCUUAGAGCCCAUUUGGUAGUGAUUUUAGGAAGUGUUUCUAGUAUUUUUUAUAUUUGAAAUUUUUUAUCUUUUAGGUAUUAGAAAUGCCAAAAACACUUUCUAGAAUUACUGCCUAACGCACUCUUAGUUACCUUUGUGUUACUUGAAAUUUUUUCUUUUAAUGGGGCUUGUAAUCUAUAUUACUUUUGUGCUGGUUGAUAUUAGAUUGGCGAUGCACGACCACUAUUUGAUAUGAUGGCAAUAACUUUGGAAAGUUUGCCAUGUGGUGGGGUUGUUGCCCGGGCAACUAUUGGAUCUCUGUUGACCCUGGCUUAUAUGAUUUCACUAGCAUCAGUCUCUUCAUGCUCACAGCAGGUAAGAGGAGUUUGGUAUUCUUAUGAUAUCUUUUAAAACAAGUUUUUGGAUUGUUCUGCCAUUCUCUUAUGUUCUGGGUCUCUCUGCAAAUUUGUUGUUGUAAUGUCACUAGAUAUUACUAGCAUGUGCUCCUUUUAUUCCCAGCCCAAUAACCUUUUUGUUUCUCAAAAACAUUUUAAUGCAGGUGUUUCCAGAAUCACUUCUUGUCCAACUUUUGAAAGUAAUGUUGCAUCCAGAUGUUGAGGCACGUCUUGGAGCACACCAAAUAUUUUCUGUUCUUCUCAUACCAAGUUCUAACCAUCCUAGACAAACGGUUGCUUCUUUGCGAUCUGGUUAUCUUUAUGAACAAAGAAGAUGGCAUUCCAAUACUGCAUCUGCAUGUGCUUCAAUUACUGCUCGACUUGAGAAGCUCCGUAAAGAGAAGGAUGGCACUAAAAUAGAACAUGGGAAUAAUGUUCAAGAUGAUCUUAAGGAAAAAGAAAUUGCUGAAGAAGACUGGAAACAUGGGCGGGCCCGCAAGAAUUCCCCUAAUUUUUACAACUUAAGUUCUAUUAUUGACCGGACAGCUGGAUCAACCAGCUUGACUGAGUCCGUAAGCAUUUUUUGUUAUUUCCUUGAGGAGUUGUGUGCAUGUUCAUGUAUUUGUGUAAUUAUGAUCAGUUUCACUACAUUAAACAGUAAGCAUAAUUCAUUGAUUGGCACAGGAACCAUAUAUUCUGAAGGUUAGUGAGGACCAAAUAGCUCAGCUCCUGUCUGCCUUUUGGAUUCAAGCCAAUCUUCCAGAUAAUUUGCCUUCAAAUAUUGAAGCUAUAGCUCAUUCUUUCAGCUUAACGCUUAUUUCUUCACGCUUGAAGGUAACAUAUUUUUUCUUCCUCCCUCCCUCCCUCCAUCUCUCUUUCCUUUUAAAGUUCUCGAUGAUAGAUUUCUACCUUAAAAUGCAAUGUAGGAUCCAGUGGAGCAGUUUGAUUCUCAUAGGGUGUUAACUAUUUUCCUGUAUCACUUGUGUUUAAAAUCCUUGCAGUCUUUUUUUUCUUUAUUAAUUUUUUGUUUUCUAAAAUUUUCUGUGGAUGGAUACAUGUAGAUGUAUAUAUUGCUGUGCUGUUGUCAUUACUCAUGAAAUCUCUCAAACUCUGUAAUGUUGCAGAACCCCAAUGACAACCUUGUGGUCCGCUUUUUCCAGCUUCCCCUAUCUCUGAGGAAUAUAUCCUUGGACCCGAGCAAUGGUAUGGGCUAUUGAAUUUCUUGAACAGCCUUUCAUAAUUUGGAGAAUGUUGAGGAUGCACAAUUCAAACUUUUCUGCUUCUUUGGCAGGGACGCUGUCUCCGGCAUGCCAGAGAUCAAUCCUUGUGCUGUCAACUGGGAUGUUGAUGUUUGUGGCGAAGAUUUAUCAGAUUCCCGACCUUAAUGAUUUGAUGAAGACCUUAGUUCCAUAUGAUGUGAGUUUUACUCUGUGUGCUGCCAACCAAAAUGCCUGAUUUUCUAUUGACAUUCAUUUUUUUUUUUCUGAGGAAUGUAUUCUUAACAUCAGGUUGAUCCUUUUGUGGCCAUUAACGAUGACCUUCAAGUAUGUGUAAAGCCUCAAGCAAAUGUGAGAGAUUAUGGAUCUGUCACUGAUAAUCAAGUUGCAAUGUCAUUGCUUUUGGAGUUACGAAACAAAAUCUAUGAGUCCGACAAGGUCAUAAUGGACAUCUUAAUUCAGAGUCUAUCUAGCAUUACUGAGGUACGCCAUUUCAUUGUGGGUGAGUGGGUGUGUGGGUGGGGUGACACCUACAUAACUACCUAAUACAUGAUAGUUUUGGAUCUAAAUUCAUCUUUUUCUGCUUGUUAAGUUGGAUGCAGAUGAACUGGCUAAGCAACUGUCUGAAACAUUCACUCCUGAUGAUGCAUUAUUGUUUGGUCCACAAUCAAUAUUCGGCCUAGAACACAUUCAAACGGUUUCACUUCCCAAGGAAUCACUUUCUUUUGAUGGGGUAUGCUCUCUUGUGAUCAUUAUCUAUUGUUUUUUGAAAUUGCAUUAAUUUGGAGAUAAUUUCUCAUAAAGCUCAAUUUUUGGGUGUGCUCUUUCACAAACCAGCCACCAGCCACCUUUCCAAUUAGGAUUCAAUCUAUACGAAGGAAGAGUCAUGAUAAUAAUUGAAAUAAGAUUUUAUGAUUAUGAUUGUCACUUUUGUUGCAGGAUUUUCCACCAAAUUCAUUAGUUGAGGAAGACCUGAUUAGCGAAUCAUCUGUUGUAGACCUCUCCCGCUUCAUUCCCAAAAUGCCUGCAUCCCCUUCUCUGUCGCACGUGAUUAGCAUUGGGCAGCUGCUUGAAUCGGUAAUCUCUCUCUUUCUCUCUCUCUCUCUCUCUUAUCAAAAACAUGCACAUUUGUAUAUGAAUUUAGUGAAUCCCCCUAGUCACCUUUUUACUUUUAUUUGAAAGCUUUCUUUACUAUGGACCUGAGGGGAUCUGGAGUUUAAGAUUAUAAGCUCUGAUGGCUGACUUGAUCACAAAGGUUUUCCCAAACAAAGGGCACAACAAAAAUAUGUGUGCUUGUGCAGUGGAUCUUUCCCGACUAUCUACUUACAUGCAAGCAUCCAUUGAUAUGGGGUUUGGAGAAUAAAAACCCCCAUCCAAAAUGACAUUUGAGAUUGAGUGAUGCAAAUUCUUCCUAAUGUUUACAAACGGAUUUGUUCUCAGGCGCUUGAGGUAGCUGGUCAAGUGGCUGGAACAUCUGUCUCGACUUCACCCCUCCCAUACAGCGCCAUGGCUAGCCAGUGUGAAGCUCUUGGCAGUGGCACCAGGAGGAAGCUCUCCAGUUGGUUGACCCAUGAAAAUGGUUACACCAUCGGACCUGACAAACCGUUUCCAACAUUCCCUGCAGACGGGUGCUCAGCAAUCACAAACGUGAGAACUUAAAUCCAUUUCAGGGUCAGGAUUCAGACCCAUAAUGUAUAUCAUGCUCUAACAUAGCUCUGGUUUAUGCAGAUCACAAGUGAUGGCAGGUCUGUUCCUGGUGGCAAGUUAUCGUUGGAUCCAUGGCUGGCAAUGAGGCUGCCUCCUGCGAGCCCAUUCGACAAUUUCCUCCGAGCAGCUGGCUGUUAAAGAAAAGGAGGAGAAGCUAUGCCAUCUCUCCCUGUUGUGUCUAACUCUGUAAAGUGAUGGGUACUGAUUAGAGUUCUUACUUAGCUCAAUGUAUGAUUUUACACUCAGAACUAAGAUGUUUUCAGUAUGUUGUAUCAUUCUAUGCAUUAUUCUCCUCGUACUUCGAUCUAGUCUGAGUGUUUGGUUAUGAAUCUCUCACUCUCUUCUGUUGUGUGGGUUUUUUCUCCUCUUUUCUUCUGACUCAGAAAAGCCUGGAAAAUUUUUCUGGGUUUCUUGAUUGUUCUUUGGCAUGGCACCUAGCAUUUGGGUAUCUGCUUCCUCAUUGUAUUGCAGAUUACAAGUCCUUGCAACUUUUGCAGCAAAACCUAGUUUCAUGGGAGGAUGAGAGUUGAAAAUGUUGAGGGGAAAAGAUUUUACAAAUUCUAUUGAAGAUAGAUUUACAUAAAUUCUCAAAUUCUAGGAAAAUGCCAAGAAAUUUAAUGGGCUUCUUGUCCUAAGGUGGUUAAACUAUGAGCCAUUGAUGUGUGUAUUGUAAGGGUUUGUGAGUGAUUUUAAAGUAGGUUAAAAAUAGUAUUACUGUUUGAAAAAGUUAUUCUUAUAAAAGUUAGACAAUUAGGCUUGUUAAAUAGGAUUUAAUGCGUUGCAUUUAUUAACUAGUCUAAUCAUUUAAAAUUCAAAUAGUGGUUCAAUUAAUAUAAAAAUUUAUGGACAAAAUCGAUAUAAAAUGAGUAUUAUUUCUCUUAUACAUAAAACCAUAUUUUCCUGAUUUUUUUAAUGAUAAAUAAACUCAAAAGCAAAUAAAACUCAAUGUGUUGAAUCCAUUAAUUAGUCUAGUAAUUUCUAAAAAUAGGUUGAAGCUCAAAUAAUGAUCUAAUUAAUACUAUAAAUUUAAAAACAAAAAUGGAUUUGGAUCGAUUCUAUAAAUCUCUUUAGAAUUAUAUUUUUUCAUUUCUUUUACUAGACAAAUAAAAUUCAAAUUAAACAAGACCUAAUGCAUUAGAUUCGUUAACAAUUUAGUAAUUUUUAAAAAUGAUUUGAAACUCAAAUAAUAAACCUAUUAACAUAAAAAAUUUAUGGAUAAAAAUUAGUUUAUAAUAACUAUUUUUUUUUUUACACAUAAUUAUUUAUUUUUUUUUGUAAAUUUUAUCUCUAGAGAAUGGAAUGUGGGCCCAAAUAUGUGUUAGUAGGCCCGAGCCCAACAUCCAUAUUUUUAUAAAAUUUUAGAAAAUUAUUUUUUAUUUUUAAUUUAAAAACAGUUUUUAAAAACAAGCAUAGAAAACAUGGCGAAACUGACCAUAAGCCUCCUAAGAACAAAAUAAGUUUUUUUAGUAAGUAAAAGUGGCACGAAAAUGGAAUAUGGGCCCAAAUAUGCGUUAGUAGGCUUGAGCCCAAACACCCGUAUUUUUAUAAAAUUUUAGUGUCGGACCAAGCAGCACUAAGCCUCUUAAUAGCAAAAUAAGGGCUUUUUUAGUAAGCAAAAGUGGCACGAAAAUGGAACAUGGGCCAAAAUAUGUGUUAUAGCCCUGGGCAAAUCCAGCCCAUAUACGGCCCAAAUGCAAAUGCCAGCCCAAUCGCAACGGAACUCAAACAGGCUACAAAAGCGAACCUAGUGGUUGACGUCUCUCAGUUCCACUCGUUCGCCAUUUCCAGGUUCUCUCUUUUUCUGUCUCUGUAUAUAUUUAUUUUUAAUUUUUAUUUAUUUAUUUACUUGUAGAUCUGAUAGAUCUAGCUUGAUGAUCUGCUAUUUCUAGUUAUCGAGAUAUUUUUCUUGUGGUUGAUAUUAUGAAUAUUGUUGGGUUUUUUUUGUUUUUUUUUUUAAAUUUAUUUUUUAGUAAAAAUUUUGGAUUAUUUCUGAUGAAUCUGUUGUUAUUCCCGUUAAUUCCCUACUUCCAAUUACAAAAAAGAAAAAAGAAAAAAUAAUAAGAGCCGUCCAAAAUAGCCAUCGAAAGUCUGAAUUUAUUUUUUUUCCUGGUCGGGGUUGGUUGCAUAUUGAGGGAUUUACAGUAAAUUCCCUAGUAUAGGCAAGAUGGAAUUGAAUUCGCGGUGGUUCGAAUGAUUUGGUUGAAUUUUGGGGGGAAACCCUCCAAAAUAGUCAUUCAAGUUCAAUUUUUUUCCCUUAUUGGGUUGGGGGCGCGGUUUGUAUAUUGAGGGACUUACAAUAAAUUCUCUAUCAUGCUAUAGCAAGACGGAAUUGAAUUUGUGGGUUUGAAUAAUUUGAUUGAAUUUUGGGAAUUUGAGUUUGAUAAUACCCUUUACAUUUUAUGGAUUCCAUGUAGAAAUUCUUGAAUUCUGCACUAGAAUUGGUGGGCUGGGAAUUUACAAUGCAUUUUACAGAUUCUAUGUUUAUUGUAAACUAUAGCAAGAUGAAAUAUUUGUGGGUUGGAGGAAUUUGCUUGAAUUUUGUGAAUUUAAAUUUGAUGAUACACCUAAUAUUUUAGGGUUAUUUGAUUAAAAGGAAGAUUGAAAAAUGCAAAUUUGUAAGAAUGUCCUCCAUCUUUUAAAAACAUGAAAUAUAGUCUCUUUUGGAAAAAACUACCCUUCAAAUUUUUUUUAAUCCCUAUUUCACACAUCAAUCACUUUUUGGAUGAAGAGUUAAAAGGUAAAAAUGUCAAAACAAGGUUAUAUAUGUAUAUAUAUGCAAUUUUCAAUAUAUUGAAGUUGUUUUUCCAAAUACGGGUGUUAUUUCAUCCUUUAUAAUCAAAUAUUUCUAUAUUUUAUGGAUUCCCCAUGAAAAGAUUCUCGAACACUGCAAUAGAAUGUGUAUUUAGCGGAAAAAAUGUGAUCGGAUUGGUGAGAAAAUGGUUUUUGGAGCAAUACUUAGGUUUGAAUGUGUAGAGGAACCUCCUAUCCCCAAUAAAUGGCAGAAGUUGAUUCAAUAGUUUAGGGUAUCUAAAAUAAAGUUUGGGUAACUGUUUCUGCAUAAUGGGGUGCGAAGAGGUUUCUUGAUGGUGGCGCUUCUGUAAGUGCUGCAGUGUGUAUGGCAUUUUUCUUGUGUAUCAAGAGUGCAGCUUGAGUUUGUUGGCAUUAAUAUUGCCAGAGUCCUGUGAGGAUGAUAAUGUAAUUUCCCUUGCAUUUAUAUAUCAUUUCUGGGAUGAUAUCUAACCUGUAUCGUCUAGAAAUAUGGCUCUAAUGUUUUUAUUUAUAGAACCACUCCUAAAAAUGAUUUAGAAGCCUGUUGGUGCUAAAAUGCUUAUUUGUUAUGACUUGGAUGGACUGAAAAUUAUUUUCAAACAAAGUUUUCAAAAGCAUUUCUGAGGCAUGCUUCAAGGUGUGCACUGAGGUGUUAGAAAAAUUGCAAGACUCCCAAAAGGUGUAUGCCUUUGGGGUUGAAGCUCAUCUCAGACAUGCUUUUGGUGUGCCUUUUGCACACUGUUGCAUGAGGUGUAAGCUGAAGAUUCUCCUUGCUGAGGUGGCUUGGAAAAAAUAAAAGGAAAAAAAAACUAUCUUUAACCCCAAAGAUCCCACAGAAGGUGAAAUCAAAGAGACAUUAAAAAAAACCUUAACCCUUGGUCUUGCUGUCACUGCAAUACCUCACUAUUGCCAGUGUUGCUGUCACCACCACCAUCUCUGGCCAUUCUUAACAAUGUCAAUGGCUUCUCACCUUCGUUCUAGUGUUGGUAGCUUCUCUCCCUCUCCCUCUUGUCUAUUGCCAGUGUUGCUGUCACCACCACCAUCUCUGGCCACUCUCAACAAUGUCGACAGCUUCUCACCUUUGUUCUAGUGUCGGUAACUUCUCGCCCUCUCCGUCUUGUUGUGCUCCAUCAUGCCUGCUAAGUCUUCUCUCAUCCCCUCUCUCCCGUAACUUUCUUUCCCCUCUCCUUUAUUUUAACUUUUAUCUCGUCUCCCACCCUCCUUUUUUAUUUUAUUUUUUCUAUUUUUACUUUUUUCCUUUUAUUUUUAUUGUCUAUUUUCCUUCCUAAAUAGAUUCUCACCCUACCGUUUUUCUUAACAUUUAUUUUUCUUUUUUACAGGACAAGGUUUCUUAGCCUAUUUUUUCCUUUUUAUGUGGCAAAAUUUCCAAAGUAAAUAAAAUUUAUUAAUUUAUCUUUCACUAGAUAUUUGUUUUAGUGUUGGAUAUUUGUGUUGAUCUUAAUAAAAUUUAUUACAUAUCAGUAUUUAAUUUUGAAAUUAUUCAUUAACAAAGGGACCUAAAGAAUUUCAAUUCCAUUAUCCCAAUUUAGUUAUUAUUUUUCCAAAUAGAAAAAAAAA
rnacentral:lncRNA from 1 species